rnacentral:tRNA from 1 species
GUAGUGAUUGUUCAUUGGUAGAAUUCUUACCUCCCAUGUGGGACACCUGGGUUUGAUUCCCAGCCAGUGCA